rnacentral:rRNA from 1 species
AUUGAACGCUGGCGGCAUGCUUUACACAUGCAAGUCGAACGGCAGCGGGGGCUUCGGCCUGCCGGCGAGUGGCGAACGGGUGAGUAAUGCAUCGGAACGUGCCCAGUCAUGGGGGAUAACUACGCGAAAGCGUAGCUAAUACCGCAUACGCCCUGAGGGGGAAAGCGGGGGAUCGCAAGACCUCGCGUGAUUGGAGCGGCCGAUGUCGGAUUAGCUAGUUGGUGGGGUAAAGGCCUACCAAGGCGACGAUCCGUAGCGGGUCUGAGAGGAUGAUCCGCCACACUGGGACUGAGACACGGCCCAGACUCCUACGGGAGGCAGCAGUGGGGGAAUUUUGGACAAUGGGGGGCAACCCUGAUCCAGCCAUGCCGCGUGAGUGAAGAAGGCCUCGGUUGUAAG